GACGAACGCUGGCGGCGUGCCUAAUACAUGCAAGUCGAGCGAAUCAGAUGGGAGCUUGCUCCCGGAUGAUUAGCGGCGGACGGGUGAGUAACACGUGGGCAACCUGCCCGUAAGAUUGGGAUAACUCCGGGAAACCGGUGCUAAUACCGAAUAGGUUCUGACACCUCAUGGUGUCAGAGGGAAAGUUGGCUUUGGCUAACACUUACGGAUGGGCCCGCGGCGCAUUAGCUAGUUGGUGAGGUAACGGCUCACCAAGGCGACGAUCAGUAGCCGACCUGAGAGGGUGAUCGGCCACAUUGGAACUGAGACACGGUCCAAACUCCUACGGGAGGCAGCAGUGGGGAAUAUUGCACAAUGGGCGAAAGCCUGAUGCAGCAACGCCGCGUGAGCGAUGAAGGCCUUCGGGUCGUAAAGCUCUGUCCUCAAGGAAGAUAAUGACGGUACUUGAGGAGGAAGCCCCGGCUAACUACGUGCCAGCAGCCGCGGUAAUACGUAGGGGGCUAGCGUUAUCCGGAAUUACUGGGCGUAAAGGGUGCGUAGGUGGUUUCUUAAGUCAGAGGUGAAAGGCUACGGCUCAACCGUAGUAAGCCUUUGAAACUGGGAAACUUGAGUGCAGGAGAGGAGAGUGGAAUUCCUAGUGUAGCGGUGAAAUGCGUAGAUAUUAGGAGGAACACCAGCUGCGAAGGCGGCUCUCUGGACUGUAACUGACACUGAGGCACGAAAGCGUGGGGAGCAAACAGGAUUAGAUACCCUGGUAGUCC
rnacentral:rRNA from 1 species